CAAUGCCGCUGCGUCUUGCAGGAAGGUUACAUUUCCUUAGUGAGCAUGUACUCACGUUUGUAGAUUCUUGCUGGUUGGUGCUCACUGCAUGACUGACCGUCUGUUU
rnacentral:miRNA from 1 species